AGGAAAAGAAAUUAACAAAGAUUCCCUGAGUAGCGGCGAGCGAAACGGGAAAAGCCCAGCACUAAGCCCUCCAAUCGUUAUGGUUGGCAGGGGAUGCAGUGUAUGGAAAGUCUAUUAUCUUAUAUUAAAGGUGAUACGUUCAAGUCCAUCUUGAAUGGGGCUAAAAAACCCAUAGAGGGUGCCAGGCCCGUAGAAACUAUUACCAAUAUAAGAAGAUUUUUCCAAAGAGUCGUGUUGCUUGAUAGUGCAGCACUAAGUUGGUGGUAAACUCCAUCUAAGGCUAAAUAUGACCAUAAGACCGAUAGCAAACAAGUACCGUGAGGGAAAGUUGAAAAGUACUCUGAAUAGAGAGUUAAAUAGUACGUGAAACCGCCUAGGGGUUAAGCCCGAUGAACCCGAAUAUCUGAAAUGGGAAAUUCAGUAUUGUUUAUUAUUGAUUUAAUAUUGAUAUAUAAAUUGUAUGCACUUUUCCCAUAGUAAGACAUUGCGAUCCAUUAGUAUAUUAACAUUUCUAUGUUAAUUGUUUAUUAAAAGGCCCAAGUGUUUAGUUUUUCCUAGCUGUGGUUAUUUUUUAAUUUCCAUAUGGAUAACAUCACAUGGUGUCCUAAUAAACAGCUGAUGGAGCUUAAAAAUCGUCCAAUCAUAUUUUAUAUGAAACACAAUUUAAAUAUUAUUAUUUAAAUGUACGUGUUAGGAUGUAUUUGAUUAGCAAUGCGAUAGAUUUGGGAUACCUUCGGGACCCGUCUUGAAACACGGACCAAGAAGUUUAACAUAGGCGCAAGUCAUUGGGUUAUUUGUAGAAACCUAAAGGCGAAAUUAAAAUAACUAGUUAUUCAUUCUUCGGAAUGGAUAAUAGAAUGGGAUUACGAAAAAUUUUUAUGAUUUUUCCUCCAUCCCGGGGCGUUCUAUAUGAACAUGAUUUAAGCAAUUAGAUCCUCUGUUCAAGAGCGUACCUUGAGCGUCUAUGUUGAGACCCGAAAGAUGGUGAACUAUACCUGAUCAGGUUGAAGUCAGGGGAAACCCUGAUGGAGGACUGAAGCAGUUCUGACGUGCAAAUCGAUUGUCAGAAUUGGGUAUAGGAGCGAAAGACUAAUCGAACCAUCUAGUAGCUGGUUCCCUCCGAAGUUUCCCUCAGGAUAGCUGGUGCAAUUAAUAAUCUAAUAUAUAAUCUUAUCUGGUAAAGCGAAUGAUUAGAGGCCUUGGGGCCGAAACGACCUCAACCUAUUCUCAAACUUUAAAUGGGUAAGAACCUCAUCUUUCUUGAUGUGAAGAUAUAGAGGUUUAGAUAUAUUGUGCCCAGUGGGCCACUUUUGGUAAGCAGAACUGGCGCUGUGGGAUGAACCAAACGUGAUGUUACGGCGCCAAAAUUAAUGACUCAUAUAGAUACCAUGAAAGGCGUUGGUUGCUUAAAACAGCAGGACGGUGGACAUGGAAGUCGUAAUCCGCUAAGGAGUGUGUAACAACUCACCUGCCGAAGCAACUAGCCCUUAAAAUGGAUGGCGCUCAAGUCAUAUGCCUAUACAUCACCGCUAGAGUAAUAGAAUUUUACUUUUAUGGGUAAAAUUUAUGAAACUCUAGUGAGUAGGAGGGUACAAUGGUGUGCGCAGAAGUGUUUGGCGUGAGCCUGCAUGGAGCCGCCAUUGGCACAGAUCUUGGUGGUAGUAGCAAAUAAUCGAAUGAGAUCUUGGAGGACUGAAGUGGAGAAGGGUUUCGUGUGAACAGUGGUUGAUCACGAGUUAGUCGGUCCUAAGCUCUAAGCGAAAGCUGUUUAAUUUAUGUAAAAUUGAAAGAAAAAUGAUAUAUUUGAAUAAAAAAUGAUAACAUAAAUUAUAGAGCGAAAGGGAAUACGGUUCCAAUUCCGUAACCUGUUGAGUAUACGUUUGUUUAUUAAAAAUGGGUCUUAUAACCACUCAUCCUGGUAACAGGAACAACCAUAGAGAAGCCUUCGAGAAAUACUGGAAGAGUUUUCUUUUCUGUUGAACAAUCGUAUCACCAUGGAAGUCUUUCACAGAGAGAUAUGGUGAAUGGAUUGGAAGAGCAUGACAUUUACUGUUGUGUCAGUAUUUUCUCCUUGGACCUUGAAAAUCUAUGGUAGGGCCACGCAAACUUCUCAACAGACCGUACCGAUAUCCGCAGCCGGUCUCCAAGGUGAAGAGUCUCUAGUCGAUAGAAUAAUGUAGGUAAGGGAAGUCGGCAAAUUAGAUCCGUAACUUCGGGAUAAGGAUUGGCUCUGAAGAUUGAGAUAAUCGGGCUUGAUUGGGAAACAAUUAUAACGGUUUAUGUGCUCGUUCUGGGUAAUAUAAGGUUGAUAUGUCAAAGUAUUAACUUGUUCCCCGGAUAGUAGAUUUCAUAGCCAAAUUGUGGAACUUUCUUGCUGUCCAGACGAAAGGUCUUAAUUGAUUUUUCGCCGAUAACGAUUAUCAUAAACAAUUAAUUCAGAACUGGCACGGACCUGGGGAAUCCGACUGUCUAAUUAAAACAAAGCAUUGUGAUGGCCCUA
rnacentral:rRNA from 1 species